rnacentral:rRNA from 1 species
GAUGAACGCUGGCGGCGUGCCUAAUACAUGCAAGUCGAGCGAACGGACGAGAAGCUUGCUUCUCUGAUGUUAGCGGCGGACGGGUGAGUAACACGUGGAUAACCUACCUAUAAGACUGGGAUAACUUCGGGAAACCGGAGCUAAUACCGGAUAAUAUUUUGAACCGCAUGGUUCAAAAGUGAAAGACGGUCUUGCUGUCACUUAUCGAUGGAUCCGCGCUGCAUUAGCUAGUUGGUAAGGUAACGGCUUACCAAGGCAACGAUGCAUAGCCGACCUGAGAGGGUGAUCGGCCACACUGGAACUGAGACACGGUCCAGACUCCUACGGGAGGCAGCAGUAGGGAAUCUUCCGCAAUGGGCGAAAGCCUGACGGAGCAACGCCGCGUGAGUGAUGAAGGUCUUCGGAUCGUAAAACUCUGUUAUUAGGGAAGAACAGAUGUGUAAGUAACUGUGCACAUCUUGACGGUACCAAAUCAGAAAGCCACGGCUAACUACGUG